GACGAACGCUGGCGGCGUGCUUAACACAUGCAAGUCGAACGAAGUGGCGAACGGGUGAGUAACGCGUAAUCAACCUGCCCUUCAGAGGGGGACAACAGUUGGAAACGACUGCUAAUACCGCAUACUGAAGGAGGGGAUUGCGUUUGAUUAGCUAGUUGGAGGGGUAACGGCCCACCAAGGCGAUGAUCAGUAGCCGGUCGUAGCGGAUGAACGGCCACAACUGGACUGAGAAACCGCCCAGACUCCGACGGGGGGCAGCAGGGGGGAAGUUUUCGACAUGGACGAAAGUCUGACGGAGCAACGCCGCGUGAGUGAUGACGGCCUUCGGGUUGUAAAGCUCUGUUAAUCGGGACGCGGUACCGGAAUAGAAAGCAACGGCUAACUACGUGCCAGCAGCCGCGGUAAUUC
rnacentral:rRNA from 1 species